UACGUAGGGUGCAAGCGUUUGUUCGGAAUUACUGGGCGUAAAGGGCUCGUAGGCGGCCAACUAAGUCAGACGUGAAAUCCCUCGGCUUAACCGGGGAACUGCGUCUGAUACUGGAUGGCUUGAGAUUGGGAGAGGGAUGCGGAAUUCCAGGUGUAGCGGUGAAAUGCGUAGAUAUCUGGAGGAACACCGGUGGCGAAGGCGGCAUCCUGGACCAACACUGACGCUGAUGAGCGAAAGCCAGGGGAGCAAACGGG
rnacentral:rRNA from 1 species